GCCGCGCGGCGAAGAUGGAGGAGGAGGCGGGGGGGCGGCGGGGCGCGCGCCGGGCGGCACCGGGGGGACCCCAGGGCCCCCGGGCGGCGCGGGCACAGCCCCGGUGCCCCGGCCGGCGCUGACGGACCUGCGCCUCUCCGAGCCCCCCCGGCACCCGCGGGCCACCAUGGACCCCCAGAGCGACACAGAGGGGGGGUCCGGCCGUGAGCCCCCGCUGGAGCUCCUGCCCCGUGUCCCGCUGCACGCUGCCCUGCCCGCCCCAGGUGAGUGGGUGGCCCCAAAACAUGGUGAAACCUCCUCCCCAAUGAAAUUCGUACCCCAAAACCCGGUGAAACCCACCCCCCAAUGAAACCCAACCCCCAAAACCCGGUGAAAACCCCUCCCCAAAACCCGGUGAAACCUGCUGCCCAAUGAAACUCGCCCCCAAAACGCAGCGAAACCCGUUCCCCAAUAAAACCUGCCCCCCAAAACUCGGUGAAACCCACCCCCAAAAACCCGGUGAAAACCCCUCCCCAAAACCCGGUGAAACCCACUGCUCAAUGAAAGUCGCCCCCCAAAACCCAGUGAAACCUGUUCCCCGAUAAAACCUGCCCCCCAAAACCCGGUGAAACCCACCCCCCA